GUCUAUCUCGACAAGUGGUACACCGUACUCUACGCCGAAACGGAUUGCACCCGUAUCACUAUCAACGAGUACAACAACUUUUGGCGAGAGAUGCAGAACAGCGCAUCUAUUUUUCUGAAGGAUUUCUCGCUCAGUGUCGGCAAAACGAUUUUUUCCCCGACCGAAUUUUAUGGACGGAUGAAGCAACUUUCACCCCGAACGGCGUAUUUAAUAGUCGUAAUUAUUUAUAUUGGGCGGAAGACAAUCCGCACGCCGUUCGGGAAUGCUCGUUCCAAUAUCGAUGGGCGAUAAAUGUAUGGGCAGGAAUAACAGCGAACCGAGUCAUUGGUCCUUAUUUCCUACCGCCACAUUUAAAUGGGGAAAUAUAUUUAAACUUCCUCCAAAACGAGUUACCCAUUCUCCUCGAAGAUGUUCCUCUUAAUAUAAGAAAUAAACUCAUCUUCUAGCAUGACGGGGCUCCUGCGCAUUUCGCUCGCCGGGUUCGCGAAUAUUUAAACGCGCAUUAUCCGGACAGAUGGAUGGGUCGAGGUGGCCCAAUCAUUUGGCCGGCGCGAUCGCCAGACUUUAAUGUUUUAGAUUAUUUUGUAUGGGGUCACAUAAAAAAUUUAGUCGAACACAGGCGUGAUGGUACAGAAGCUGAAGUACGAGAAGCAAUUCUCGCAGCUUUUAAUACCAUCACGCCGGAAAUGGCGUAUCGCGCGACGCGCAAUAUUACUCGAAGAGCCGAACUCUGUUUACGAGAAUGAGGAAGGCACUUCGAACAAUUUUUACAUUAAAAUAUGAGAGU